GCGGCUGGCCCGGGCUCUCGGUGUCUUCCCGGAGUCGGGUUGUUUGGGAAUUCAGCCCAAAGCGGGUGGUAAACUCCAUCUAAGGCUAAAUACGGUCACGAGACCGAUAGCGAACAAGUACCGUGAGGGAAAGUUGAAAAGCACUUUGGAGAGAGAGUUAAAAAGUACGUGAAACCGUCGAGAGGCAAACGGGAGGGCCUGUCGGGUCGUUCGGUCGCUUUCAGGCGGGCCGGAGACCGGGUCGCGGGAUCGGGGACCUUCGCGGGCCUCGACUCGCGUCGCCGGCCGACGGCUCGGCGCACUAGCGUCGGACGAGGGCCGCGACCGGCUGGGCGGCGGGCAAACGGCUCCGGGCAAGGUAACCCCGCUUCGGCGGGGUGCUACAGGCCCGGUGCGCGCAAGGGUCGCCGCCCGGUCGAGGAGAGAUGCGCGCCGCACCUGCCCCGUUCGCGGGGCCGGGGAAGCCGUUCGAGCAGCGUCGUGUCGCGGUCCGGGACUGUCCUCAGUCCCGGGUCGUCUCGGCGCGGUUCCGAGCGGUCGCUCCCUCGCGAGGUGCCGCGGGUCAGCGGCUGACGCCAGCCACCUUCCCGACCCGUCUUGAAACACGGACCAAGGAGUCUAACAUGUGCGCGAGCCGCGGGGCAGUACGAAACCCGUAAGGCGAAAUGAAGGUGA
rnacentral:ncRNA from 1 species